GCUGACCCUCCCCAUCUCUCCCCUUCGCAACCUUCCUCCUCAUCUUCUUCUCAGCCGCUGACUUUCUUGCACUGGGUUCCUCGUUGGCAGUCUCCGCUGAUGCGAUAAUCAAUGGAGAAACGUCUGCACCUUUGAAGAGAGAGAGAGAGAGAGAGAGAGCAAUUGAAGGCAAAUUCUUGUCAGAGAAAAACCCAUUUCUCUGCAGUCCACCAAAGCACUUCUCCGCUGAAGCUUCACCUUUCUGCUGAUUUUCAGCUUUCCGUUACUGUUUCUUCCGAGAUUUAUGAACAAGGAUUUCUCUCUGGUGAUUCUGUGGGUGAAAUAGUGACUAUGGGUCCUCUAUACAGAAAGAAAGUUAUCCAGAUAAACAUAGAGAAGGGAAGUGACUACUUGAUUUCCAUGGCAACUGGAAGCGGCAAGUCCAAUAUUUGGUACACAAAAAUAUGCAGAUUUUGCUUUCAAAUUUGAAUUUGCUACAAAUUGAGAGG
rnacentral:sRNA from 1 species